UGCAAUGGCAUAAGCCAGCUUAACUGCGAGACGGACAGGUCGAGCAGGUACGAAAGUAGGUCAUAGUGAUCCCGGUGGUUCUGAAUGGAAGGGCCAUCGCUCAAACGGGAUAAAAAGGUACUUCCCGGGGGAUAACAGGCUGAUACCGCCCAAGAGUUCAUAUCGACGGCGGUGUUUUGGCACCUCGAUGUCGGCUCAUCACAUCCUGGGGCUGAAGUCGGUCCCAAGGGUAUGGCUGUUCGCCAUUUAAAGUGGUACGCGAGCUGGGUUCAGAACGUCGUGAGACAGUUCGGUCCCUAUCUGCCGUGGGCGUUGGAUGAUUGAAGGGAGUUGCUCCUAGUACGAGAGGACCGGAGUGAACGAACCUCUGGUGUUCGGGUUGUCACGCCAGUGGCACUGCCCGGUAGCUAAGUUCGGAAUCGAUAACCGCUGAAAGCAUCUAAGCGGGAAGCGAGCCCUGAGAUGAGUCAUCCCUGACCCCUUGAGGGUCCUAAAGGGCCGUUGGAGACCACAACGUUGAUAGGUGGGGUGUGUAAGUGCAGUGAUGUGUUGAGCUAACCCAUACUAAUUACCCGUGAGGCUUAACCAUACAACACCCAAGAAGUGUUCUG
rnacentral:rRNA from 1 species